ensembl:snRNA U6 U6 spliceosomal RNA
GUGCUCGCUUUAACAGCACAUAUACUAAAAUUGGAAUGAUACAAAGGAGAUUAGCAUGGCCCCUGAACAAGGAUGACAAUCAAGUUCAUGAAGCAUUCCAUAUUUUU